rnacentral:lncRNA from 1 species
UACGGACCAGCGUCACUCGAUUGCUCCACGGGCUUUCGCUCAGCUCGAUUACUCCAAGACGCAACAUUUCGUCGACUUCCGCAAACAACAGCUCCUGUAUCGUCGUCCUUCUCAAUCCGUGCUUGGCAAAACACCGAAAUUUGUCCUUCACCUGUUCCAUGCGUACUUGCUGCGACUGGGUUAAGUUAUGAGGUUCGGUCGGCCUACUUCUCGUCAGCAGUUCUGCCUCGAUCUCUUCUAAUUCCUCUUCUCGUUUCGCCAGAAAUUGACCCCCAGAUACAGUGAUUGCUUCAAUGACGGUCACAAGAAUAACUCCAUCGGGUGCUUCUGGCCUUUGUAUGCCAUCACUACCGUCACAUGGCCUAGGAUCUGAUGAGGUGUGCCGCCCGCAGUUUGUACCGAUAUUGUUUUCGCGUCUUUUAGCUUAAGCUUCAAUUCUUCAAUGAUCUCUAAUCCCCCUCUUCCCAGCAGGCUCACUGAUGCCCCCGUAUCGAGCAGUCCCAUCAGCGUCUUCGGGCUCACGUGCGCAAACGGCCCUCGUCCCGGCUUAAUGCGGA